AAGGGGUCACAAAGGGGAUGAGGUUUACCUGUUUGACUGGGAAGGAUUAGGCUGUUACCAUUUGUGCACAGGGCAUUUUUUUUUUUUUCAUUAGGGUCACAAUUCUUGUUGACAGGUGAUCGGUCGGCUCAUAGGUGGGACCCCCUGUAGUAUGGGGCCCCAUGAUUUCUUACAGCAGCUUCAAUGAAAAUCAGCGGCACUGAAUGCACCUUUGUCCACCUGUUGCCCCUAUCGUUAAAGGGGUUGUUCACCUUUAAACUAACUUUUAGUAUAAUGUAGAAAUUGAUAUUCGGAGAUAGUUUGCAAUUGGAUUUUUUUUUCUUGUUUGUGGUUUUUCUGUUCUUUGUCUUUUAGUUCAGCAGCUUUCAAGUUCGGAAUUUCAGCAGCUAUCUGGUUACUGGGGUCUUGUUUACCUUACAACCAGGCAGUGUUUUGAAUAAUGGACUGGACUAAUGGACUAAUAAUAACAAUAAAAUUGUAGCCUAAAAAAUUGUAGCCUUACAGAGCAAUAGUUUUUUUGAUGCUGGGGUCUGUGGACUCCCCCUUUGAAAGCUGGAAAGAUGAAGAACAGGAAGACAAAUUAUUCAAAAUUUAUAAAAAAAAAUAAAUAUAAAUAAAUAAUGAAAACCAACUGCAAAGCUGCUAGGAAUAGGACAUUCUAUAACAUAUUAAAAAAGGUGAACUACCCCUUUAAGUAUUUUCCUAGGACAGAAUGUAUUUGUGUUAGCUGGGAUGAGUAAAGCUGGUCAUGAUGGUCUGAUAUUAACUGCCAACUGGCCCCCCCAGACCUGGAGCUUAUUGACCUGGUGCACAGUUUGUCAGGUUUUUUCUUAGAUGUACUUAGUGAUACUGUGUAUGUCAUAAUAGAAUAUUUUCCCACUUCCCCCUUUUUUGCCUACAGCACAUGGAAUUUUGAUCACAACAGUUUCUUCAUUGAAAAUCAAAAAAAAAGCAGUAUGGCCAUCACGCAGCCAAGGUACACGGGAGCGGCAUGGACAACUCUUGCUGUUACCUACUCCAUGCCAGGCAUCAGUCAAGGGGUUAUCGCUGGCAUGGGGCUGAUGGAAGACCUUAGCACCAGGUUAUACCCGCAGUGACGCACAUGAAGCUUGAUCUUGGCACAGACUGAUAGGCCUUUGUGACAUUUAUAUGGAGAACAUUUUCUACUGGAGUUUGAAAUGUGUUUUGCCUCAAUGCUGGCAUCUGAUUAAAAGUCAUUUUAAUUGAUACAGUG